GGCCACAGCCAUAUCAACCUGCAGCCCAAGACCGGUUACUCACUGAAGCUAAGCAGGGCUGAGCCUGGUCAGUACUUGAAUGGGAGACCACUAGGGAACACUAGGUUGCUGUUGGAA
rnacentral:rRNA from 1 species